ACAAAUCUCUGUAGUUCUGACAGUGGAAUGUUUUACUUCAUGUAGUCAGAGGCGUUUCUGGAUCUGGUUUAUAUACAGUUUCCUCACUGCAUAGGAGAGAGCCAGCUAGCAUUUAUGAAUGAGGUGACAAACUGAGUUCAACAAUAAUAAUUUUUAGAAGCGUUCCUAAGUGAUGUCCACUACAGAAUUGGGUUUGUUUGAAAUGCAGUGCUGCCUCAGGGCCUAAAGAUCACAGCCACCUAUUCUCACCAAAGCCACACCUAAUCUCGGCCUUGUCCUCUGAAGACCGAGAUUACUUCUCAUUCUCUGAAUCUUGUAAUGCCAUCAUGUACUGUGGACAACAAAACCGUCAUAUUAAAAUUAAUAUGCAUUUUUUUAUGUUAAAAAUGAUUAUUCUUAAAGUGUUUUGCACUAGUUGUUGAGUGAUGAGCCCCUCCUCAUCUUUACAUCAUAAAGAUUCAUCCUUGCUGCGAUGCUCAUUAUCCCUAAUCAUGUUUCUAACCUUAUAAGAAGUUAGAUGUUCUAUCAGCUGUUUUAUUUUAGCAUCUCACAACUUUCCGACCUUUUAUCGACACUCUCCAAACUCUUCUCAAGAGGGUUUACAGCAUCCGUUUCAGUUAUAUGUCUUUGUGCUAUUUUCAAUCUAACAUGGGGUUAAAAUCUUUUGCAUUCUGUUUCUAUUUACAAUUGGGAAAAUUACACAUCAUCCCAACUUCUGUGGAAAUGAAUUAUUGUUACAAACUAGGACAUUUUCAUUAAAAAAAAAUAUUGCUGUUUGUUUUUGUUUACUCAAAUGUAUGAAGUAAAGAAGAAGAAUGUGGAUAGGAGUGUUCACCCUUGUCUGUCUGCAUAAGAAUACCAUUGGUGACCCUUAGUAAUGCUGUCUCCGUGCUGUGUUUAUUACAAAAAUUGGAAUUUAUCAGAGAUGCAAUGGCCUUCUACGUAUUUUAGGAGUUGGUCAGAAACAAGUUUUUUAAGGAUUUCAGAGAGGAAUUGGAAGCUUUGAUACUGGUCUGUAAUUUUCUACAAGAGCAUGGUCUAGGGAAGGUUUCUUUAGUGAAUGCUGGCAAAUUUAUGCAUUCAAACAUGAAACUUAUACACAAAUGAUAGCUCAGAUAUUUCACUAAAUUGGCGUGUGCUUGUCUAAAAUGGUUUUGUUCUCCAUUUGAAAACUACAUAGUGUUGGUCUGUAGUUAAUAUCUAAUUUUAGUAUCUGUGAGAGUAUGAGGAGAGAACAGUGUGUACUCUCCUCCUGGUCCCAAAUCUGACUCAGUGUACCUGUCUGGAAUGCUGAAAUGAGGACACAAGCACAUAAAAAUACAUUUACGAGCUCAGUCAUGACCUUUUUGUUAGGCUUCUCAUUGCUGAGUAAAAUAUUAACCAAAUGGAUGUACUCAUACUGGUGCUGCCUGCUUGUGUUGGGGGUCAGGGGUCACAGAGGGACAGAUCUAUCUAUCCAGUCAAGUGUGUUGAUUUAUGCUUUUCAUAAUGAUAUUAUUAUUUUUUUUGUUUAGUUUUUUUUAUGCACAAAACUUACAAUAUGACAAAACCUGGCUCUUUGAAAAAAAUCAUAAUCAUUUUGUAGAUCGGUAAAAAAUAGAUUUUGGGGAUUUUGGACCAUUACAUUCUGUGGCAUUUGGCUGAAUGAUCUUCCUUUCUUUAUUUUUAAGUUCUAGCUACUUUGGCCCAUUUAACAUUCUAUGGCAAAAUGUUGGUUAACCUGGAAAUGAAUGUCUUAUGAUGUAAUAUAACUUAAAUAUUAAAAUUCUCACGUUUUUAUUAUUUCAUGCAUGAUAUUGUGCCUGCACGCACGAACGCGCACGCACGCACGCAUGUGUCUGUAAUUUGAACGUAAUGACGUAACCAGGGAACCCCUAUAUAAGCGUUGCCAAUCAACGGUAUCUUCCCCUUUUGCAUUUGAGAUUGAUAGAGAGUAACACGAGUUGACCCAGUGCAAAAACCUGAAUGCGAGAAAGCUGUUUUUUGGCGAAAGCUAACAUAUCGUCUGCAGGACAAACUUUACUUUGGUGGAUUACUUCUGACAAGUGGAUAAGUUUUCAUCAAUUUAAGAAAACAUCUGGAGAAAUGACUCUUCGUUGGACGAGAUCGCCGGCGUGUGAGGAGCACCUGCUGACCGGAGCUGCCCUUUCUGACAAAUACGAUGGAAGACGCUCGCUCCUAGCCGACCUCAUCGGACGUGCCGAUGAUCUCCUGCAGCGGAUCAGAGCCCUCGACGACGAAGGUGACAACCUCCCCGUCUUCAUCUCUGAGGAGAUGAAGGACGAGGGAGAUAAGGUAAGUAAACAUGAGUCCUUCUGCCAGCUCCUUUCUUCUCACGUUGAAGAUGAGGAUGAGGACCAGGGAGAUAAGGUAAGUGAACUUGAUGCCUUCUUCGAGCUCCUUUCUUCUGACGAUGAAGAUGAGGAUGACGACGAUGAGGUAAGUGAACUUGAUUCCUCCUUCGAGCUCCUUUCUGACGAUGAGGACAAGGACGAGGGAGAUAAGGUAAGAGAACUUAAGGCCUUCUUCGAGCUCCUUUCUUCUGACGAUGAAGAUGAGGACGAUGAGGUAAGUGAACUUGAUUCCUCCUUCGAGCUCCUUUCUGACGAUGAGGACAAGGACGAGGGAGAUAAGGUAAGAGAACUUGAGGCCUUCUUCGAGCUCCUCUCCGAUGAUGAAGACGAGGUAAGUCUGCUUCUCUCAGACGAUGAGGAUUAAGACUUGGACCAGAGUCUUCACCUGUCAGACGGGGAUGUCAGCACUGAUGACUCCGACUACGACAGCCUGUCUGACUAGGAAGAGGACUCUGGAAGAUGUCGGGCCUCCCUCUAAUGAACCUGUCCUUCUUUGCUUCCCGUCGCUCCUUUUGGGAUUUGGUUUAUGUUCCUCAGAGACUGAUUAUCAGGAUCCUGCAGAUUCCUGUUAGCGUGAGCAGCCUGUGGAACAGCACCAGAACCUCCAUCAGUGUCUGCAGCUCCCUCUUUAUUUCAGAAGAGGAGAUUUGAGCUAAAAGUCCUCAAUGAGUAGCAGAAAAAGAAGCCAGGUGCAGGUAAGAAGUAACCCUUGGAGACCCAGGUCCAUCAACUCCUUGACUCGGCUCUUCUGCAAAGAACCUGCAAGAAAGUUACCACCAUGAGACAGAGGAAGCCUUAUGAUCAUCAUUUCCAAAUAUGUAUUCUAAGUUAUGUCAAUGUAAAAUUCUGUGACGUUGGUUUCCUAAAAAGGUAAAUGUAGCUGCACCUGGCAGAUGUGUCGUUAUGAAAACACUAACAAAGCUUUUGCAAGUGUUUUUAUCUCUCCUCUAGGGGUUUGCUGAGUCCAGUUUGAAGACAAGAUUGACAGCAGAGGAGGAAACCUGAUCCAGAGAAAUGUUGCUUCGUAUUCAACACCGAGAAAAAGUAAGAGUAAGAGUCAAAAGGUUUUCAUGCCAAAGUGUUCAAAAAUAUUCACAACUCUUAUUUUAUUCCUCAGGAACUCUUCUGGUGUCGUUUCUAACAUUCCUGUGACGUUUAAGAGUGGAUGUGGACCUCACGAGGCACAACAGCAGUCCAGCCAUUCCUGGGACACAUUCUCUGUAUCCUCUCCUUGAAGAGCAUCGAGCAGUUUCUAUGACAACAAGUAAAGGAGUUCCUCCUGCCCUCCAGAUGAGAAGGAUGGUCGACCGCAAGACAAACUGGAGGAUGAUGGGCGACUUUUCAUCAAACAACAAGGACUCGUGUCUUUGGCAUUCGUGUGACUCCUGAGGGAGGAAGUGGUCCAGCAGCAGUCCUUCACUUCCUGGGACACCUUUUUUUAUUUUCAAAAUCUGAAAUCAAAAUGUAAAUACUGUGCCUAGACUGAGAAGAUAUAACAAGAUCUACAUCAAUUUACUAAAUAUGAAGAAAUACUAGACUUGGUAAAAUACAAAGUUGUGUAAAUAGAAGAAAAAAAACUCAAUUAUAUUUAAAAUGACACUCAAACUUAAAGAAAAUGAAAAACUAGAUUAAAAUUCAAGAUGCAUUAAUUAAGAGAUGAGUCGUAACAGAAGUUAAAGUAUAGAAGUUGAAACAUGUCAGUAAAAUAAUGAAAACAAAAGAGUCAGCAAGGAAGUUCAUUAAGAUCAUCAGGAUCGUAAAUAAAAAUAUUAAAGUAAAGUUUUAGAAAAAAAGAUCUAUAUUGUAAUAUGAAAACCAAUUCAGGCUUCUAUACUCCCAGUGAAAUAUGGAUAUUAGUGCAGAAAAAUGUUAGAUUUAGUAAAUAAUUAAGAAUACGUGAAUGGUAUAAAUUUGAAUAAUGAUGAAAAUGAUAAUUAAAGUAAGAGAUAAUAAUAAUAAUAAUAAAUGUUGUAAUAAUAAGAGUAAAUUCAUUAAUACAUAGGUAUACCUUUUGUUUUAUCAACAGCUUGACUGGUUUCAUGUCAAUUUAAGAAAUGAUUCCAGUCUAUUGGAUUAAUGAAAACAUCAGACAUGUAAACUUAUUUGAAUGUAAUGUCCUCUUAGAUUGUGUUAAACAUGUUUUUAGUUUAUUAUAGUAUAUGGUAUGGUAUAAUAGUUUGUGCUCCUAUGAUUUCAAAACAUUUAAACCAAAUAAAUCUGAUUAAUUCACUAAAAUAA